GUGGACGUAGCUCAGUUGGUAGAGCCCCGGACUGUGACUCUGGUUGUCGUGGGUUCGAUCCCCAUCGUCCACC
rnacentral:tRNA from 1 species